rfam:Triticum aestivum genome assembly, contig: Triticum_aestivum_CS42_TGACv1_scaffold_602724_7DL
CAUGUACUCCCUCUGUCCGGAAAUACUUGUCCUAGAAAUAGAUAUAAUGGAUGUAUCUAUAACUACAAUAAGCCUAGAUACAUCCCUUUCUAUGAAAAGUAUUUUCGGACGGAAGGAAUAUACU